AUUGAACGCUGGCGGCAGGCCUAACACAUGCAAGUCGAACGAGUGGCGGACGGGUGAGUAAUGUAUGGGAAACUGCCUGAUGGAGGGGGAUAACUACUGGAAACGGUAGCUAAUACCGCAUACCAUCGUAUGUGCCCAGGUGGGCUUAGCUAGUUGUGGGGGGAACGGCUCACCAAGGCGACGAUCCCUAGCUGGGCUGCGAGGAUGACCAGCCACACUGGGACUGAGACACGGCCCAGACUCCUACGGGAGGCAGCAGUGGGGAAUAUUGGGCAAUGGACGAAAGCCUGAUGCAGCCAUGCCGCGUGAGUGAAGAAGGCUUUCGGGUUGUAAAGUUCUUUCGGUAGGGAAGCGUUAACUAAAGAAGAAGCACCGGCUAACUCCGUGCCAGCAGCCGCGGUAAUAG
rnacentral:rRNA from 1 species